rnacentral:rRNA from 1 species
CCUACGGGGGGCAGCAGUGGGGAAUAUUGGGCAAUGGGCGCAAGCCUGACCCAGCAACGCCGCGUGAAGGAAGAAGGCUCUCGGGUUGUAAACUUCUUUUCUCAGGGACGAAGCAAGUGACGGUACCUGAGGAAUAAGCCACGGCGAACUACGUGCCAGCAGCCGCGGUAAUACGUAGGUGGCAAGCGUUAUCCGGAUUUACUGGGUGUCAGGGGCGUGUAGGCGGGAAAGCAAGUCAGAUGUGAAAACCGUGGGCUCAACCUGUGGCCUGCAUUUGAAACUGUUUUUCUUGAGUACUGGAGAGGCAGACGGAAUUCCGAGUGUAGCAGUGAAAUGCGUAGAUAUUGGGAGGAACACCAGUGGCGAAGGCGGUCUGCUGGACAGCAACUGACGCUGAGGCGCGAACGCGUGGGGAGCAAACAGGAUUAGAUACCCCAGUAGUC